GUAGGGAAUAUUGGACAAUGGGGGGAACCCUGAUCCAGCCAUGCCGCGUGGAGGAAGACUGCCCUCUGGGUUGUAAACUCCUUUUAUAUGGGAAGAACCGUCCUCAUUAAUGAGUGACCUGACGGUACCAUAGGAAUAAGCACCGGCUAACUCCGUGCCAGCAGCCGCGGUAAUACGGCGGGUGCAAGCGUUAUCCGGAUUCACUGGGUUUAAAGGGUGCGUAGGCGGAUAAAUAAGUCAGUGGUGAAAUCAACGGGCUCAACCUGUUAACUGCCAUUGAUACUGUGUAUCUUGAAUAUGAGAGAGGUAGGCGGAAUGUUGCAUGUAGCGGUGAAAUGCUUAGAUAUGCUACGGAACACCGAUUGCGAAGGCAGCUUACUAUUUCGUAAUUGACGCUGAGGCACGAAAGCGUGGGUAGCGAACAGGAUUAGAAACCCUAGUAGUCC
rnacentral:rRNA from 1 species